CAAACAAAGCUCUAAUUUUUCCUUUCAUGGGCUGUUUAUCGGGAGACGACAGCGCGAUAAGGAUAGGCGAUGAGGUGCCGUUGAAGUUGAGGUUGGAGGAAGUGGAGGGGGGCGGCGACCUGGUGGUGGAUUUCGGCGAUCCAGGGGCAUUGGUGGGAGACGGCGUUGCGGCGGAGAGGCUCCUACCCUAGAUCUGGGUCAUUGUAUUUUUUUAAAUUUGAUUUUAGUAGUAUUAUUGUUAAUUGUUUGAUCAAUGUUUUCUUGAUUGUGGUAGAUUUGAGUCGUAGAAGGGGAUGAUCUUCUGAGGCUUUUUCUCACCAUGGAGUCAGUUAUCUCUUUCUCCCCUCCCCUCUCUCUCCACUUAGAAUUCAAGCUCAAGUUAUAAUACUUGCAUUAUAUAUAUAUGCAGUGAAACUAGCCUGCAAUAGCAAUUGGAGCAGCAUUUGGAAACUGUCUCUGAGCUUCAUCCAUUCCGGCUUCUUUGGGGGAAGAAGACAAGGUGAGCACUGGUUUGGAACUUCUUCUGCUUCUUUGCAUUCUCACACAUUAAUUUCAAGUAAAAUGUCAUCUCUCAAAUAAGAUUUGAUUUAUGUAAUUAGAUUGAAUUGGCGUUGACAAAUCUUGCUUUAUCUUCCUUUAUAUAUGCUGAUAGAAACAAAAAUAUGUUUAACUAACUGGUGAAGAACUAUUAUUGGAGGGAUUGUUGCUGACUAUUCUUGCAACUAUAGGAAAUGGCUCAUGUUUUCAGCUUUGUAGGAGUGUCAGCUUAUCACUUUGUAAAUUGUGUAGAAAUAUGUAGUGUAAAAAUAUUGGUAAAUUAAGAUGUGGCUUCAUUAAAUGUAAAUUGUGUCGAACUAUUGUUGGUUGUUUUGUUUGUUUGUUUAGCUAGCAAACUUUACCAAUUGAUGCAUCAAAUGGUUUGAGGGAUUUUGAAUAAAUAUGAUAUCAAGUCUUUUUUCGACUUUGAAGUAUUUGAUUUAUUCAUCCCCUACAGGAAAGAAAUUUGGCUUUAAAUGCAUCAUAUUUCCUAAAAGCUGGUGGCCACUUUGUCAUAUCUAUCAAGGUUUGUAUCUCUGAUUUCUUUUAAUGUCUGAUAGCUUAAUAGUAAGAAUCACUAAGCUUAAUAUUUCUGAUGUUCUUCUUAAGGUCUAAAAAUCAUAAGGCACGAAACUAAUGUAUAUGUAUUUCACUCAAUAUAAAUGUUGUUCUCACAUAAAGAAGUGAUUUUUUAAAAUCUUGUUGGGGAAAUAAUUUAUAGCCCAGCAACUUUGUUUUAUCCACUCGAACUCACUCUUGCUUCUUCUAGCUUGAGAAUUGAUUCUUUUAAAAACUGAAAUCACUUAAUGGAUUAAACUAACAAUUGGAGCAAUUAUAUUUUUUAGGUUAUUUUAACUUUGUUAUAUGUACUUUACAAUAUGUUAAAUUGUGUAUAUUGACUAAUAUUGUGUUUCUCUUAUCUUGACAGGAGUAAUUGAAAAAGUUAUCAUGAUGGUUAACCAAUGUUCAACUAUUCUAAUGUACAAUGGAAUUGCUUUUGAUCAAGAGCUCGAAGAAAAUUAUCAGUCCUAGAUUAAUCGCGAGUUGUAGAUUAAGUGCUUAGUUAUUUAGAUAUUUAUAAUUAUAUGUAGUUAGUCAUUUCGCACAUAUACUUUGAUUUUGUUGAAUAUUUUUUAUGUAAAUGUUUUGUAUGAUAUUCUUGUUAUAUUUAAUGUGUUGAGUAUUA
rnacentral:lncRNA from 1 species